AACGAACGCUGGCGGCAGGCUUAACACAUGCAAGUCGAACGGGUGUAGCAAUACAUCAGUGGCAGACGGGUGAGUAACACGUGGGAACCUUCCUAGGGGUACGGAACAACUCAGGGAAACUUGAGCUAAUACCGUAUACGUCCGUGAGGAGAAAGAUUUAUCGCCCUUAGACGGGACCGCGUCGGAUUAGGUAGUUGGUGGGGUAACGGCCUACCAAGCCUACGAUCCGUAUCUGAUCUGAGAGGAUGAUCAGCCAGACUGGGACUGAGACACGGCCCAGACUCUUACGGGAGGCAGCAGUGGGGAAUCUUGGACAAUGGGCGAAAGCCUGAUCCAGCCAUGCCGCGUGAGUGAAGAAGGCCUUAGGGUUGUAAAGCUCUUUUGCCAGGGACGAUAAUGACGGUACCUGGAGAAUAAGCCCCGGCAAACUUCGUGCCAGCAGCCGCCGUAACAC
rnacentral:rRNA from 1 species